UUCCUUUUUUUUUUUUUUUGGGUAAAUCUUCAUAUGCUUCAGAUACCAAGGAUUAUGACUCUUUUAAACGACAAUAGAACUAUUGAAAAAACCAAAAGACAUAAACAAAUGAAUAAAAUUUAUAAGUUACCACUAUUUCUGGAUACAGGCCAAUACUCUGAAGUUCCAUCAGGAGUCUCUCCUCCAAAGACUGCACAUAGUUGCAAUCCAAAGCACAAAUGCCAGAAGCAUUUGUUUGCACAACUAGCUUCCCAUCAUUAUUUCCUGAAUGCCCAGGGAACAUGCCAACCUUUGAGCUCAUAAAUCCCUGAGCUCCUUGGAAUGAAUCAUCAUUACAUAAUUGAAUGUGAAAACUAGCGGCCCUAUUAAUAGUAGCAUUUCCAUUACAAGGAACACCAUCAACAUAAGAUUGCUUCUUAGUUUGAAAACCCAACAUGGAGUCAUAAUCAAGUUCAGUUCUAUCACUGUUCCUAGGCUCAAAAUCAAGAGGGAGGCAAGUAUCACCAGGUGACCUAUCUCUCCAGUUUUGAAAAGAGAUAUUUCUCCCUCCAUUGUUUUCUUCAAUUUCUUCAUAUUCAUCUUCCAGAAUCAGAACAGACAAAACUCUUCGGUACAACGGAGUAGCUUGGUUUCUUUUUUCCAAGUUUCCACAAGAUUUGCCAUUUUCCAUACCUUGGUCUACCAAACUUAUGGUCAAUUGCUUGUUUGGCCAAACAUGGUCUUGCAAACUUCUCUCACUUUCUUCAGAGAUGAGUUGAGGCUGAAAAUCUUCUUGAUGAACAAGAUCACCCAAAGUAUUAUUUCCAUGGCCGAAAAUCUCAAAUAAGCUUUCAUAAAGCUCCUCUGCUGAUUUCAACUGUUGCUUCAAGCAGGAUGAAUCCUCUAUGCAGAUGGAAGCAAAAACCGGCUCUAUGUUCUUCCAAAAUGAAUUGGAACAGGAAAGAUAGCUAGCAUUACGAGCAAAAUUUGCAGCUGCUAAUAUUUCCUCUCGAUCGUCAUCUGUUUCACCUGUGAAAUCUGGGGAACCACAAGUUGCUGUUUGUACACGAGUAAAGGCCUUGCGAUCCAAUAUUUUCUUAAGAGGACGGCCAGACUUACUUGCAUUCUUAUCUGAAACGGGCCUUGUACUUCUAGCUGGUUUUGUUGAAGCCGGACUCUCCAACUUCUCCCUCACUGGAGAAAUGCUACCCCUAGAAGAUAAUGCACCUCGACCAAUCCUGCCUUGUUUCUGCAAGCCAUCACUAGUUUCUUCUUCAUUCAGUAUUUUAUUCUUCUUCGUGAGAACUACAGGACCAACAAUGUGGUUUUGGGAUAUUUCUUCUACUCCAACACUUCCCAUACCCUUCUCCUUCGGUCUACCCUCAUGAUUUGCACCAGCAUCAAACUCUUCACUUUCAGAUAAUCUAGCAGGAGAUGAAACAUUUUCAUGUUUCACUUUAACUAGGUGAUUUCCGUUAGCUGCAUCCUUGGCAAAUAGUGACCCAUUACUCCCUGUUGUAUUUAAUCGCACAGGAAAUUCAGAUGGGUGUCCCCCAUCUGAUGACAUUUGCACUUCAUCAUGAUUUAAAACAGGGGAGACCACAUUUGCUCUCCUAGUACGAGAAAUUUUCUGUGGCCUCUGACCAACCCAUUGAGCCAUUGGAGGUGAGGAUGACCCUGCUGGCGUUGAGCGCUCGCGAUUAAUGGUCCCCCCAAUUGAACCGACUUUUUUUACAUUUGGUGUUUGUUCCCAGCCAUUGGGGGCCCCAAAUGUAUGAGAAAAAUUAGGAGAUGAAUUUGCCACCAUUCCAGAGCCAGUUCGAGGUGCUCUGGAAGCUUUUCCCUUUAUCACUAGACUUGGACCAGAAAAAUGAUUAUCUUCAAGUAUAUUUAACUUAUUGUUUGCUUUUGCCACAACUCUUUCCUUAUUCAUGCCAUCUGCAAAUUCUCUUGUCAAAGAAACUUUUUCGGAUUCUUUCUUCCGAAUGGAACGUGGAUUUGAACUAGCUGACAAUGAACUUGUGUCUAACUUGUUGAUGCCACUAUUACCAUUAAAAGAUCCUGUGCUGAAGCCCUGGGCAUCACACGACUGCAAACCUGGUUCAUUGUUAAACUUAUGAUGCAUGAUUCUUUUAACCUCUCCAUCACUAUCAGUUGAUCUGGCAAAAACAGAGCCCAUGGAACGCUUCCUUUUCAUCUUUCUGUCCCACCCAUCCCCUCCAGCAGGCAUUCUCUGAACCUUCUCCACAGGUAAAUCAGAAGCCUCACCACAUUCCCUAAGCAUGUCUCUAUCCUUCCCCAUGACCAGAAGCUGCCUUGGUAAGGUAUUGCUUCGGCCAUCAGCCCGUAACUCUGCUGCUGAAGACCGAACCCGCUUAUUCAAAACAAUAUUUUUAGUCCUGUCCUCUAAUCUUUGAGUUCCAAGAUCAGAAGCAUUUCGAUUAAUGUGAAUUCCCAUCUUCAUAAAGUUUGACCCACCCAAUCUUUCAGUCACCAACAUUUCAUUUCGUUGUUGCUUCUUCAAAUUCAAUGUUUCACAAUACUUGUUCAACUUUAGCAAGGAUUCAUUUAACUUUUUUAUUCUAGCCCUGGCCUUCAAAGUGGCCUCUGAUACACUUGCUUUGAAGCGCUUCAGUUCCCCUGUAGCCAAAGGAGGGGGAGGCUUCGAGUGAGCAGCUCCAAAAGAAUUAUCUUCUGCAGCAUUCCCAAGAGAUAUCCCUAGAGCCCUCCUUAACUCGCCUGACCUAGUAUAUUUUUGAUCCCCCAUUGUAAUAGGAUCCAACAACAAACAGUGAGAAAGCAAGGCCAUAUCUGAUAAAGCACUACCUCGGGGUGUACUAGGUCCAGAACCAAGCACCCGGCUCUCAAUGCCCUCCCGGAAGCUUCCAGACCGAUCCAAAGUAGCAUUAGAAUAAUUACUCCGCUGGCCAUUUGGAUAGCUCCCUGUAAAACCUAAUUCCUGCAGAUUAGAUGAACUGGAUUCAAAUCUCGAAUAUCCAGCCAUCUACUCAAACAGUCAAACCAACCAGGAUCUGCUCAUAUCCACUCUGAAUUUUUAUUUCUUUUGGCAAGUUCAGAAACCAUCUCUAAAGUAGCAUAAAAUAAUGCGACCCACAUGAGGAGAUGUCAACAAAUUCAUAAACCGCCAAUAAUUCACACAAUAAUAGUAGCGGCAUUGAACAAUCGGAUUAAGUAGAAGAUCGAAUUGUACACAGAAAAUAAUAAAAACAAACAAAAAGGAGUUUUCGUUAGAGAGAGAGAGAGAGUACGAACAAUGUACUGUUAGAGAGAGAGAGAUAGAGCGAGAGGGUCCCGCACAAAAUUUAGGGAAUGGGCGAGGUUUC
rnacentral:misc_RNA from 1 species